GACGAACGCUGGCGGCGUGCUUAACACAUGCAAGUCGAACGGAAAGGCCCUGCUUUUGUGGGGUGCUCGAGUGGCGAACGGGUGAGUAACACGUGUGUAACCUGCCCUUGACUUUGGGAUAACUUCAGGAAACUGGGGCUAAUACCGGAUCGGAGCUCCUGCUGCAUGGUGGGGGUUGGAAAGUUUCGGCGGUUGGGGAUGGACUGGCGGCUUAUCAGCUUGUUGGUGGGGUAGUGGAUUACCAAGGCUUUGACGGGUAGCCGGCGUGGGAGGGUGACCGGCGACAAUGGGACUAAGAUACGGACCAGACGCCAACGGGAGGCAGCGGUGGGGAAUAUUGCACAAUGGGCGCGAGCCUGAUGCAGCGACGCCGCGUGCGGGAUGACGGCCUUCGGGUUAAAAACCGCUUUCGCCUGAGACGAAGCGUGAGUGACGGUAAUGAGUAAAGAAGCACCGGCUAACUACGUG
rnacentral:rRNA from 1 species